CCUACGGGAGGCAGCAGUGGGGAAUAUUGGACAAUGGGGGGAACCCUGAUCCAGCCAUGCCGCGUGUGUGAAGAAGGCCCUCGGGUUGUAAAGCACUUUCAGUGAGGAAGAACGCCUGGUGGUUAAUACCCAUCAGGAAAGACAUCACUCACAGAAGAAGCACCGGCUAACUCCGUGCCAGCAGCCGCGGUAAUACGGAGGGUGCGAGCGUUAAUCGGAAUUACUGGGCGUAAAGCGCGCGUAGGUGGCUUGAUAAGCCGGUUGUGAAAGCCCCGGGCUCAACCUGGGAACGGCAUCCGGAACUGUCAAGCUAGAGUGCAGGAGAGGAAGGUAGAACUCCCGGUGUAGCGGUGAAAUGCGUAGAGAUCGGGAGGAAUACCAGUGGCGAAGGCGGCCUUCUGGACUGACACUGACACUGAGGUGCGAAAGCGUGGGUAGCAAACAGGAUUAGAUACCCUGGUAGUC
rnacentral:rRNA from 1 species